rnacentral:lncRNA from 1 species
AAUCACCUUGUUGGAUAAUAGAUUAUUUAAAAGGUUAAUCACCAUUCUCCGUACACACAUACAAGUACGAUUCAAUAAAGAUCCAUUUAUGUAUCAACAAUAAUAAAGAACUAUUACUAUGAGAAAAUGAAGUGUCUUUCACAGAAGUGAUAAGAUGCCAGGUGAGAAAAUCAAGUAUCAACAUUUAUAUAUCUCCAGCCAAUUGAAGAUAAUGUCAUGCAAACCAAACCAUGCCUUCGCACUUUACAACAAGAAUUCCUGCCAAGCAAAGCAGAGAAGUGCAGAAUAAGGAAUUUUGUUUAUAGAGCUAUCCUCCAAUUCCUAAAACACAUAUAAAAGUCAUGCAUGACACACUUUACAUUUUCAGUGUUGGCACUGCAAAAAAAGCAUAUCAUGAUUUCCCUAUAUAGUACUUUCUUGGCGCAUAUAUACGGAACUCCUAACCCAAACUCAGCCAGGAAACUGUAGGUUCUUAUCAACAAAAUUCCAUCAGACUAUCAGAAUGGACAAAUGAGGAUUUUUUUUACUUGGAGAACCUCACAUCGACCAUCCGACAUGUCCCAAUUUUGUGAAAAAUAGCAGAUCGUCAGCAAGCUGACACAACAUUGUUCAUCAAGCUCUAAACACUGAAUGCAAGGGGAGCUCACAAUACAUGUUUACCCCGCUGGUUUUGCAACUGGCCAGUCGGCUGAUGGUACCAAACCAACUGCAAUACAUAAUAAGACUUGUUGGUUGAUGCAACCAAACCAACUACAAUACAUCCUACGCCAAAUCGGUUGACACACCAUAAAUGGGUUGCAACUCCAAAUAAGAAAAUGUUCAGACAGAAAAAGACAACAAUGAACUUGAGAUCUUGCCUGCACCUUGUCAAUCUCCUCCGGGUCUUGUUGACGCCUUUGAGAAUUGUAAGCACUACACGCAGAGGAAAACAACAUUCAGGCAAGUCGGCGUCACUACAUCAGUGCAUCCACCAAGUAUAAAAAAGGUUCCCAACUCACCUCCACGGCAAACUCAAAGGAAAUAAUGGAUUUACACAGGUUUAAAGUAGGCUUUUCUGAAAACAAACUCAAAACUGAAUUAGAGCACAAUUUACAAAAUUAAGGUAACUCGGAGAAAGAUAUGAAAAAAUUCCUGAAAUUCUCAUAACAUUUGUACUGUGAAUGACAACAGAAAAAAGAAUAGAAGAUCUGAAUAACAGUAAUUGGAAGGAUAGAACAACAUUUGCUUUAAAUAAAAUUAGCUAGUUGAGGCUGCAAGAACAACAUAGAAGCAAGCAUGGAUCUAGCAAAUGUUGGGCAAGCACACCUGACCAGCUACAGACCAUUUAAUCGUUAGUGCUAAAAGAGAUAUAACUCAGAAACGCAGACCUACACGUUUCCUUGUGUUCUUGGCUAUUUGUGUACCUGCCCUUUGUCCGGAUGGUCUUCUUCAUGUUGCACGGGCCACCACACUCGGAACUCGCUGACGCGUUUGCCAUUAGCUGUUGAUCCUC